CCUACGGGUGGCAGCAGUGAGGAAUAUUGCUCAAUGGGCGAGAGCCUGAACCAGCCAAGUCGCGUGAAGGAUGACGGCCCUACGGGUUGUAAACUUCUUCUGUCAGGGAGCAAUUGAUUCCACGUGUGGUCUUAGCGAGAGUACCUGAAGAAAAAGCAUCGGCUAACUCCGUACCAGCAGCCGCGGUAAUACGGAGGAUGCGAGCGUUAUCCGGAUUUAUUUGGUUUAAAGGGUGCGUAGGCGGAAUAUCAAGUCAGCGGUAAAAAUUCGGGGCUAAACCCCGUCGUGCCGUUGAAACUGAUAUUCGUGAGUGGCCGAGAGGUAUGCAGAAUGCGUGGUGUAGCGGUGAAAUGCGUAGAUAUCACGCAGAACUCCGAUUGCGAAGGCAGCAUACCGGCG
rnacentral:rRNA from 1 species